CCUACGGGGGGCAGCAGUGGGGAAUAUUGGGCAAUGGGCGCAAGCCUGACCCAGCAACGCCGCGUGAAGGAAGAAGGCUUUCGGGGUGUAAACUUCUUUUAAGAGGGAAGAGCAGAAGACGGUACCUCUUGAAUAAGCCACGGCUAACUACGUGCCAGCAGCCGCGGUAAUACGUAGGUGGCAAGCGUUGUCCGGAUUUACUGGGUGUAAAGGGCGUGCAGCCGGGAAGACAAGGCAGAGGUGAAAUCCGGCGGCUCAACCGCGGAACUGCAUUUGAAACUGGUUUUCUUGAGUACCGGAGAGGUCAUCGGAAUGCCUUGUGUAGCGGUGAAAUGCGUAGAUAUAAGGCAGAACACCAGUGGCGAAGGCGGAUGACUGGACGGCAACUGACGGUGAGGCGCGAAAGCGUGGGGAGCAAACAGGAUUAGAUACCCCAGUAGUC
rnacentral:rRNA from 1 species